AUUGAACGCUGGCGGCAUGCCUUACACAUGCAAGUCGAACGGCAGCACGGGAGCAAUCCUGGUGGCGAGUGGCGAACGGGUGAGUAAUACAUCGGAACGUGCCCAAUCGUGGGGGAUAACGCAGCGAAAGCUGUGCUAAUACCGCAUACGAUCUACGGAUGAAAGCAGGGGAUCGCAAGACCUUGCGCGAAUGGAGCGGCCGAUGGCAGAUUAGGUAGUUGGUGAGGUAAAGGCUCACCAAGCCGUCGAUCUGUAGCUGGUCUGAGAGGACGACCAGCCACACUGGGACUGAGACACGGCCCAGACUCCUACGGGAGGCAGCAGUGGGGAAUUUUGGACAAUGGGCGAAAGCCUGAUCCAGCCAUGCCGCGUGCAGGAUGAAGGCCUUCGGGUUGUAAACUGCUUUUGUACGGAACGAAACGGCCUUUUCUAAUAAAGAGGGCUAAUGACGGUACCGUAAGAAUAAGCACCGGCUAACUACGUGCCAGCAGCCGCGGUAAUACGUAGGGUGCAAGCGUUAAUCGGAAUUACUGGGCGUAAAGCGUGCGCAGGCGGUUAUGUAAGACAGUUGUGAAAUUCCCGGGCUCAACCUGGGAACUGCAUCUGUGACUGCAUAGCUAGAGUACGGUAGAGGGGGAUGGAAUUCCGCGUGUAGCAGUGAAAUGCGUAGAUAUGCGGAGGAACACCGAUGGCGAAGGCAAUCCCCUGGACCUGUACUGACGCUCAUGCACGAAAGCGUGGGGAGCAAACAGG
rnacentral:rRNA from 1 species